AUUUAAAAAUAGAAUACCCGUUGUUUUACAUUCAAAGUUCAAAACAAAAAAAUGGUAUCCAACUUUUUCCAAAAACUAACUCUCGGGCCCUAUCGAAAGGUAUUAAUGAAGUCCUCAUUCAAAACUGGUACCCUUCUUUUAAAACCCUGGCUCUUGAAGGUUUAAUCCACAAUGUUUAGUAGCCCAUUUUAUUGCCCUGGAGCCCACUGUGUCUUAAACCUGAUCGAUGCACGCACACAUACAAGCACACGAAGCCGAUCCUGCCCCACACACAUACACGUAAGGCAAACGAUGCUACCACCACUACCAACCACAACAAAAACAACAACAACAAGACGUAAGCCACAACAACCGCAGUAAAAGCAACAUCAGCGGCUUCAACUUCAACUCGCCUAGCCGCAUUCCACGAGCUCAGCUCUGGGCUGGGAGGCGUUGUUUGUUGCUUGUUUUUUGUUUUUGUGAUUGUUGUUGUUGUUUUGGCCGACAACAAUUUUUGCCUCAUGUUGCAUACCACACAUUCAUGUCGUGCCUAUGCAGGACUAGAUCACGUUUAAAUAUUCACCAAC